rnacentral:lncRNA from 1 species
GUGUAUGUACAACAGUAUCGAACAUAGCUGCAUCCCUUGGUAAAGCCAAUGCCUUCAAUUGCUUUCCGAGAUUUAUGAUAGUUUCUUGACACUCGGCCAAUUUCUCAGAAGCUACGCUAAUCUCCCAAUCCUGGCAAAUCCAAAGGUAAGUACAAGUUAAGAAGUCGCAGGUUGUUUUUACUCUUUAAGCUACUAAGACAAACAAAUUUCCUGAAGUUCAAAGUCGUGAGAGGUACAUCUAGUGCAAAGUUAUUCUCUUCUAAGACUAUUGGUACCUUUUUUUUAUCUGGGAUGAGCCUCUCAUUAAUAUCUUGUUAAUGUGGCUCAUCUCAAGUACAAGACUGUGAAUCAUGGAUAUGCAGCAGAAUUACACGAAUAAAUGAUGAUUACCGAUUCUACAAGAGCUGUUUCUUUAUAUAUGUAGCUAAUGAUAGUGGAACCAUAGAUACUUGUAAAUGUUUCUGCAUGCCUGAAUGACUUGUGGGGUUUUUGAAAUUGUGUUUCCUAGAAGAAUAUGAUUGAAUUGCAACACCUGUCUAUAGUGAUCCAAAAUUGAGAUCUUUGCAUAUCAAUUGUACUUGGGAAUGUUGAACAAUGGAUGGCAUAGACUUACAUCUCGAAGUUGCUUUUCACAGGGUUUUCCAUCAUCCUCACCUCCGUUGCUUCUCUUGCUGAAAGGGCAAAGUAAGAAAAAGAAAGCUCAAAUGUGUUUACAAAGAAGAUUAUAAUAAAAUGUACCUUUUUGGCCGCGUCACUUGGUUACUGCAUGUUUCUUCCCGUCUCUCAACAGAGUUACUCUUAUCUUCCAGAUCAGUCUUCGGACAUGAUAUUUUUUCGCAAGUGUUUAUCUGUUCAUGAUUACCGUCCAUGAAAUUGGUCUCCAGGUCCUCUGUCAUCUUCCCUUUUUUGAUUUGAUCUCCAAUAUUUCCCAUAGAUUGCAGGGCAGCUUCCUUCUCGGGUUGAUUCUCGAAAGAUUCAGCCUUGAAGAUUGGUGAUUGAGCUCUC